rnacentral:rRNA from 1 species
GAUGAACGCUAGCUACAGGCUUAACACAUGCAAGUCGAGGGGAAACGACAUCGAAAGCUUGCUUUUGAUGGGCGUAGACCUGCGCACGGGUGAGUAACGCGUAUCCAACCUGCCCAUCACUUUGGGAUAACCUUGCGAAAGUAAGACUAAUACCCAAUGAUAUCUCUAGAAGACAUCUGAAAGAGAUUAAAGAUUUAUCGGUGAUGGAUGGGGAUGCGUCUGAUUAGCUUGUUGGCGGGGUAACGGCCCACCAAGGCAACGAUCAGUAGGGGUUCUGAGAGGAAGGCCCCCCACAUUGGAACUGAGACACGGUCCAAACUCCUACGGGAGGCAGUAGUGAGGAAUAUUGGUCAAUGGGCGAGAGCCUGAACCAGCCAAGUAGCGUGCAGGAAGACGGCCCUAUGGGUUGUAACCUGCUUUUAUAAGGGAAUAAAGUGAGAGUCGUGACUCUUUUUGUAUGUACCUUAUGAAUAAGGACCGGCUAAUUCCGUG